rnacentral:rRNA from 1 species
CUACGGGAUGCUCCAGUCGAGAAUCUUCGGCAAUGGACGCAAGUCUGACCGAGCGACGCCGCGUGCGGGAUGAAGGCCUUCGGGUUGUAAACCGCUGUCAGUUGGGAGGAAAUUCUUGGGGGUUCUCCCCCUUGAUUGACCUAUCUUCAGAGGAAGUGCGGGCUAAGUUCGUGCCAGCAGCCGCGGUAAGACGAACCGCACAAACGUUAUUCGGAAUCACUGGGCUUAAAGGGUGCGUAGGCGGUCAUGCAAGUUGGGUGUGAAAUCCCUCGGCUCAACCGAGGAACUGCGCUCAAAACUGCAUGACUUGAGGGAGAUAGAGGUGAGCGGAACUUAGGGUGGAGCGGUGAAAUGCGUUGAUAUCCUAAGGAACACCAGUUGCGAAAGCGGCUCACUGGGUCUCUUCUGACGCUGAGGCACGAAAGCUAGGGGAGCGAAGAGGAUUAGAUACCCCGGUAGUC